AAAAAUUAGUUAAACAUAAUAACGCAAGCUUGUCAAGCUUGAAUUAUCACCUGUGAUAUUUUU
rnacentral:tRNA from 1 species